CCCACAAAUGCCAAUCUCCUUCUACUGUUGAGCAUUCAUAAGCCUGCACCACAGUUCAAGCGAGAGUGCCCUGGAACUCUCCAUUCCUGCUUGUACAUUUCACCCCCAUGUCCUCCAAGGGCAGAUGAGUCAUUGAGUGUGGAGACAGUUCUAUAGAGCACAGACUGUAUCACCAACUGGUCUUGCAAAAGCUUCUGAUAAUACUUACAAAGCUCUGAGAGUUCUGAGAAUUCUACUGACAGAAGAAGAGGGGUUUGGAAGAGGAAGUCAGAUAGAACAGGUGGUCACAGCACAGCUAUCUAAGCUGGGCUAAGAAAGAGGAAGCGUUCUCCUUUUUUGGCUUCCAGACAGCACUCUCCUUUGGGGAAAAACAAACAAAUUUUGUGGUGGUUGAAAGCCUAGAGGAACCAGAAGCCAUAUGCUGUGUGGUGCUGCUGCCCAGGCCCCGCGGCCCUGGAAUGGGAUGUCGCGUCCCACCAGGACUUUAUUCAUUCCCAGUGCAGGGCACUGUGCCUGCUGUUGGCGUACCAGAGGUGAGCAUGGGCAGACAGCUCUCUGCACAGAGUGAGCUGUUCAUCAGGAUAUGCAAAAAUAGCAUCCCACCUACCAAAUAUCUGUCAUCUAUGUUCAGAUUGCUUUUUCAUUUUCUCUCUCUCAUUUUUUGAAAAAAAAAAAUCAUUAAAUAAGUACAGUUCCCCACUAGGAAGCUCUAACUUUGGAUUGGACAUGACUCAGGUCAUAUUCUCUGAAAACUCAAUGAUUUUUCUCCUGGAAGAGUAUUUCUUCAAUGGUGGUCUGAAGACAGCAGGUGGUCCUUGACCAGCCAGUAAAUCAAGCAUCUAUAGCUCCCUUGUUGACAGGGUGGGGCAAGAAGGAUGAAUGAGGACACAGUGGGGUGGGAAUGGGGGUGAACAGGGUGGGGAGCGUCUGCCUUGACCAGAAAGGGCAGCCAUUUUCCGCUGGAAAUAGAAGCUGAAAACUGGAUUGUUUUUAAAUGUAAAAUCUUCAUUUUUUAAAAUGCUGGUAACCAAACUUCAGAAAAACUAAAUCACUUGCGCAGGCCAAACAAAGAAUUUGUGGGCUGAGUUCCAGCCACAGACUACAAGUGUGUGACCUAGGCUAUAGGUGGUCACUGCCCUGGUUCUUUUGUACAAUUAGCACCAAUAUUUCAAAUCAGAAAAUGAGUGUUGAUAGGGUACUUGGAGUUCAUCUAGCUUAACCUCUCACUUCAUGUUAAAAUCCCUUCUCUGAAACAGAUGGUCACCCUGAAUUUAAGUAAGUUAAUAAUUGAAACCAGAAGUGUGCAGUUUCUUCAUUAGCUUCUUAUUUAAAACACUGUGGGGUAGGAUUAGGUAAGGAUGGAGGUAGAGGUGGGUUGAGGGGAGCAGGCCGAAGAUAGAGGGCUGGAAGGGGCCUCAAUGUUGAUUUUUUAAAUGCUUCUCUUAUUGCUAAUUGUAAGACAGACACACUUAAUUUUAUUGGACUUUGUAGAUACUAGCUUUUUAUUUUUAUUUUUUUAACAAAUUGAAGGUUUAUAGCACCUCUGCAUCAAGCAAGUCUAUCACUGACGUUUUCCAGUGGGAUUUGCUCAAUUUGUGUCUCUGUAACAUUAUGGUAAUUCUUGCAAUAUUUCAAACUUUUUCAUUGUUAUUUUUACAUUUGUUAUGGUGAUGUGUGAUCAGUGAUCUUUGAUCUGACUAUUGCAAAAGAAUUAUGACUCAAUAAAGGCUCAUGAUGAUUAGCAUUUUUUUUAGCAAUUAAGUAUUUGUAAAGAAUGCAAUCUUUUUAGACAAAACAUUAUUGCACACUUACUAGACUGUGGUGUAGUGUAAACAUUACUUUUAUGUGCACUGGGAAGUGAAAACAUUUGUAUGACUCUUUACUGAGAUAUUUGCUUUAUUGUAGUGGUCUGGAACUGAACCCACAAUAUAUCUGAGGUGUAUAUAUAGACAGAUAAAUGAAUGUUUAUAUACAUAUAUCUAUAUCUGUAUGUAGAUAGAUAGUUUCUGCCCUGGUGGCUCAGAUGGUAAAGAGUCUGCCUGCAAUGCAAGAGACCUGGGUUUGAUCCCUGGGUCGGGAAGAUCCCCUGGAGAAGGGAAUGGCAAACCACUCCAGUAUUCUUGCCUGGAGAAUCUCAAAGUCAGAGGAGCCUGGCAGGCUACUGUCCAUAGGGUCUCAAAGAGUCGGACACAACUGAGUGACUAACACUUUAACUUUCAUGUCUAUAUAUGUAUAUUUUUAAACUCUAAUUUAUUAAAAUGAAUCAAUACAUUUUGGGACUUAGGUUUCCCAGAAUUCCCAGAAGGAAACAGAACACUGGACAUGAAGUGGACCUGAUAACUAUUGUUUGCCUACUCCCUCAUUUUAUAGUCAACGGAACUAAGAUCCAUUAGGUUUAAACUGUUGCCUUAAAGACAUGUCAGACGUGACUGAACCCUAGUGUAAUUAAUAUUUCUUUCAAUGAGUCAAGUUGUAACUAGG
rnacentral:lncRNA from 1 species